rnacentral:rRNA from 1 species
CCCUUAGAUGUUCUGGGCCGCACGCGCGCUACACUGAUGCAUUCAACGAGUUUUGCCUUGACCGAAAGGUCCGGGAAAUCUUCGAACUUGCAUCGUGAUGGGGAUAGAUUAUUGCAACUAUUAAUCUUCAACGAGGAAUACCUAGUAGGCGUGUGUCAUCAGCGCGCGUCGAUUACGUCCCUGCCCUUUGUACACACCGCCCGUCGCUCCUACCGAUUGGAUGGUCCGGUGAAGCCUCGGGAUUGUGGUUCUUGCCGCUUUAUUGUGGCGUGACCGCGAGAACUUGUCUAAACCUUAUCAUCUAGAGGAAGGUGAAGUCGUANCA